rnacentral:rRNA from 1 species
UACGUAGGGUGCGAGCGUUAAUCGGAAUUACUGGGCGUAAAGCGCACGUAGGCGGAUCGUUAAGUCGGGGGUGAAAUCCUGGAGCUCAACUCCAGAACUGCCUUCGAUACUGGCGAUCUUGAGUCCGGAAGAGGUGAGUGGAACUCCUAGUGUAGAGGUGGAAUUCGUAGAUAUUAGGAAGAACACCAGUGGCGAAGGCGGCUCACUGGUCCGGUACUGACGCUGAGGUGCGAAAGCAUGGGGAGCGAACAGG